GUUAGCAUCCGUGAGUGUUGCUGCUUUUUUACUUUCCUAGAAAAUUCCUCUAAGCUUCUGCCUCAAAAUCCUCCACUGGGUUACUCACAAAAACCAAUCUUGAUUGAUAUAGCCAUGGCCCCUGAAGUUCCUGUGGACGUGUUUUCAGGUUCCGGCAAGGUCUGCGCCAUUAACGCAGGCUACUCCAAGAGGGCUUAUGUGACAUUUUUAGCUGGUAAUGGUGAUUAUGUCAAAGGGGUGGUUGGAUUGGCUAAGGGUUUACGCAAGGUGAAGAGUGCAUACCCUCUUGUUGUUGCAAUCUUGUCUGAUGUUCCUGACGAGCAUCGUCAAAUCUUGAAGUCUCAAGGCUGCAUAGUUCGUGAGAUUGAGCCUAUUUAUCCACCUGAACACCAGAUUCAAUUUGCCAUGGCUUACUAUGUCAUCAACUAUUCCAAGCUCAGGAUAUGGAACGUAAGUCUCAUCAUCAAACCAUUUUUCCUCCAAAAUGAGAUUAAUUAGAAUAAUUAUACUUAACUAGUGUGUUGUAUGCAAUGUUACAGUUCGAGGAGUACAGCAAAAUGAUGUAUUUGGAUGCUGAUAUUCAAGUGUUCGAGAACAUAGACCAUCUUUUCGACGCACCAGAUGGCUACUUCUACGCAGUUAUGGAUUGCUUCUGCGAGAAAACAUGGAGCCAUUCUGCUCAAUACUCCAUCGGCUAUUGC
rnacentral:lncRNA from 1 species